UACAGAGGUCCCAAGCGUUGUUCGGAUUCAUUGGGCGUAAAGGGUGCGUAGGUGGCGCCGUAAGUCGGGUGUGAAAUUUCGGAGCUUAACUCCGAAACUGCAUUCGAUACCGUGGUGCUCGAGGACUGGAGAGGAGACUGGAAUUCAUGGUGUAGCAGUGAAAUGCGUAGAGAUCAUGAGGAAGACCAGUGGCGAAGGCGGGUCUCUGGACAGUUCCUGACACUGAGGCACGAAGGCCAGGGGAGCAAACGGG
rnacentral:rRNA from 1 species